UGAAAAGCAGGAGUUGAUGGUUGCUCCCUCUGUGAGUGCCUGCUCUUUCGUGCAAACCUUGCCUACUGCUUCUGCUCUCUUGCUUUUUGAGAUACUUGCUUCACUUCUGCUCACCCAGGCACAUGGAAUGGAAAUGUGACUGGGGGAAGAAACUUAACAUAGGCUUCCAAAAUGGGACAGAAAAGAAAGGGACAGGAGUUUGUGAAGAUACUGAAGAUUUCUUUGGUAACCUGAAGACUCAUUCUAGGAAGUGCUUCUGGCACAGGAGGAUGUGCCAGCGCCUGGCAUCCCAGGGCUACAUGGCCAAGGUUAUGUUGCUCCAUCACCAUCUGAGGGAUAUGACUGAGAAGCUUGUCAAAAAUAGGUGAAGUUGCCAUUAGUCAAAGUCAUCGUUCAUUUGGGAAUGGAUCCUAUUGCUGGGCAAUGAUUCAACUGCUGCAGGAAAACUGCAGUCAGGCUCCUGCAACUCUUAAACCUCCUUGGUGCAGCCAGACUUCCGCCCAGCCACGCGGUGCUAUUAUUGAACGUCGCCCAAAAUGCUGCCUGAAAAGCUACUCCUGGAGGAUUUGUAUCCACACUCAGGACUGCACAGAUCCAUUUAGCAGGUGAACUUUGAAAAAUUGAAUUAAAGAAAUAAGAAGAUCUGUGUGGAUGAUGUAUAGAAUAAAUAUAGGCAAAAGUAAAAUUAAUACUAAAUGAAAAAACUUUUAGAACACUGUAGAAUUAUCAUAAGGUCUGUUAAAUAUGAAUCCUCUACCCAGGUCUUAAUUGUCAUUCCUCUUCUGCACAGAAACUACUCCAAUGAAGAAACUCUAAUCCUUUUGA